rnacentral:lncRNA from 1 species
UUGUUAUGUUGAUUGGUAUCAAAAUUUGUUGAGUUUCUACAUAUGAGACUGAUCCAUCAUCAUAUGAAAGAGAGCCAAAAAAGAGAACUCAUGAGGAAAAAUGGAGUUAAAAUGAACUCACUGCUCCAACCUAUUGCCUAAUUUGCCUAUAACCUCUCCCUUUUGCUUGAAUCUUUAUUAAAAACGUGAACCUCUCUCUCUUCAGAGGUCUGAAAGACACUUGCCACUGAUGAAGUCAAUCACUUUGGUAAUGGACUCAUCAAGUUGGGCAGUGACUGCAGCUAAAUUCUCCAAAAACUCCUCUGAGGUUGGUCUAUUUCCGUCCACAAUAUCAGUUACUCCUUUUAUUAAAAUCGUAGGAACCUUAAAAAUAUCAGCCACAUAGGCCACUGCUGCUCCCUGAAUUUUGUGGAGAUACCCAAUAUAAGCAGUUGCGACUGAUUAAAACACAUAGAUUGGAGCAAAAGGUUCAUGGAUUGUUUACCUCCAUGUCUUUAACUGUAGCAUCAUUUGCUGUGAUGGAUUCUUUGUCAUGUGGAGACAUAUCCAUAGAAUCACCAGUGGAUAAUCGUCCCACCUGUGAACAUCAAGAUGCUUCUUGCAGAAACUCUCCACGUUGUCUUCUAUUAUCUGCGGAAGCUCUCUAGACAGCGUGAAGUUUAUCCCUUGUUCCGUUAGCUUCCCAUCUAUCGUCUUCUCCGUGUCUGCACCAUGAAAAUGCAAUCCAUGUUUAGUCUAAGUUAUAGGUUACAAAGUAUCUUGUAGCUUUACCAGGCAGGAAGUUCUGAAUUGCAGUGUGAAGCUCAAAGAGAGGCUUCUCAAGAAUCGGAUCUGGAUCGGAUCCGAUGAUCAUAGCUCCGGCUCCAUCACCAAACAAGGCAACACCAACAAGAUCAUACGGUCUAUCAGCACUCGGAGGUUUGAACCCAAUGACGGUCGUCUCAGACGUGGCGAGAAGGACUCUACUCCCCGGAUUAUUCUCAGCUAUGUCUUUGGCUACACGGAGACCCGCAACGCCACCAGAACAGCCAACGAAGUAGAGCAGGACACGGUGUGUCUCGGGGCUGAGACCAAGCCCUUUGGCUAAGAAGAGGUCGCCACUAGGGAGACGAGCUUCGCUUGAAGAUACGUAGACAAGGUGAGUUAUGUCGGAAAUAGAACGGCCCCAGUUCUUGAUGCAGGCUCUAGAAGCCUCCACUGCCAUUUCGGUUACAGCGUCGUUGCAUAUGUCAAGACGCUGCUUCACGGUGGAUCCUCCUUCAAUGGCGAGCUCUGGAUACUUGUUUAGUAUCUCCUCUGACAUGACAACAUACCUUGUCUUCACCGUCGUAGUCUUGCCUGUAUAGUAAUUGAAAGUGUCAAAACAACCUCAGGUUCUCAGAAAAGCUUAUACAAAGUAAACUCAAAAAAAGGGUUGAAGUGAAGACAUUACAGAGACGAGUAAGCUUCUGUUUGAGUUCAGGGUCAUCACAGUUGGUGGUUUUGAAGUAGCCAUCAACCAAAUACUCUUGCAUUACUAGCUGCUGAGGAAAGGCUUUUCCAAUUGCAAGAAUUGUAGCUUUCCCCGGAUUUGGUUUCUUCUCUGAACCCAACUCUGUUGCAUCGAUGCUUCCCAUUUCUAUCUAUCUCUUUUUUUCUUUUCUUGGUCUAUUUAAAAGGGUCAAAGUGAAGGCAUAUAUAUACACUGCAGCUUUUGAAGUAUAUGAUCUGCACCUUGUGUGAUGUUUGUCUAGUUUGAUAUUUGGUGAAGAUUAGGUGUGAGAUUCAGGAGCUUCAUGUUUAUUGCAUUGGCUCUUUCUAAAAAAUAUUAGGCCUUAACUAAAAGUGAUACUAGUUACUAACCAACAGAAGAGUAAGUAAUUUUGGACUUGAAAAGAAUGGCCAGAGAAAGUUUAUUGCUAUUUCAAGCAUAAAUAAAAAAAAGAACAUCAACAAUGCAAUGAAAUAAGAUGAAAGCAAAUCUUGUUAUGUUGAUUGGUAUCAAAAUUUGUUGAGUUUCUACAUAUGAGACUGAUCCAUCAUCAUAUGAAAGAGAGCCAAAAAAGAGAACUCAUGAGGAAAAAUGGAGUUAAAAUGAACUCACUGCUCCAACCUAUUGCCUAAUUUGCCUAUAACCUCUCCCUUUUGCUUGAAUCUUUAUUAAAAACGUGAACCUCUCUCUCUUCAGAGGUCUGAAAGACACUUGCCACUGAUGAAGUCAAUCACUUUGGUAAUGGACUCAUCAAGUUGGGCAGUGACUGCAGCUAAAUUCUCCAAAAACUCCUCUGAGGUUGGUCUAUUUCCGUCCACAAUAUCAGUUACUCCUUUUAUUAAAAUCGUAGGAACCUUAAAAAUAUCAGCCACAUAGGCCACUGCUGCUCCCUGAAUUUUGUGGAGAUACCCAA